UACGAAGGGGGCUAGCGUUGUUCGGAAUUACUGGGCGUAAAGCGCACGUAGGCGGCUUGUUAAGUCGGAGGUGAAAUCCUGGAGCUCAACUCCAGAACUGCCUUCGAUACUGGCGAGCUCGAGUCCGGGAGAGGUGAGUGGAACUGCGAGUGUAGAGGUGAAAUUCGUAGAUAUUCGCAAGAACACCAGUGGCGAAGGCGGCUCACUGGCCCGGUACUGACGCUGAGGUGCGAAAGCGUGGGGAGCAAACAGG
rnacentral:rRNA from 1 species